rnacentral:lncRNA from 1 species
UGAUCUCCAAAGAUAUUUUUGUGUGCGUGAACCUUCUGAAAAUGAAGUUCGCAGUGUUUUGGUUUCCACUGCAGUAUAGACAGGAUGGUCUUUCACCGUCAGAUAAGAGAAUGCGACCAUAACGAGUCAACACUACUUUAACAGUUUUUGAGAGCACAGGACUGUUAGACAUUGACUUGCACAGACAACGAUGCACUCCUCCCAGUACUCCUACCUGUGUUGACUUCACUUGCAUAGAUCCAUCCAGUUACUGUGAAUACAGGAGCACAAACCUGAAAUGCAGCUUGAAACCAAAGGUGUAGAAUAGUUACUGUAGUUAGACAGAGAUAUGCUUCUUUGGACUACAGCCUUCUGUUGCGAUUCGGCUAAGCUUAACUCAGAAGCAGCUCGAGCUUUGCAAACAGCCCUUAUCUUCAUUCGCUACAGUAAGGUCCCAAUAGUCCUGCAGAACAAAGGUCCGUGUAGCCCCAUAAGACGUAGUGCUGGUGUUAGACGAACAUGAGAUGCUUUACUGAAAUAUUCCAAGACAGUUUGAUAUGAAAGAUAUGCGUCAUUGUCAAAGAUCUUGUAGGGCUCAAUGCUACACAGUUUGCAUUGGACCAGAAAAAAACAGGGAGAUACCUCACCACUUGGCCUUGUUUAGUUCACCCCGAAAUCCAAAAAGUUUUCAAGAUUCUCUGUCACAUCGAAUCUUACGGCACAUGCAUGAAGCAUUAAAUAUAGACAAAAUAAAAACUAAUCACACAGUUUGACUGUAAAUCGCGAGACGAAUCUUUUGACCCUAAUUAGUCUAUGAUUGGACAAUAUUUACCACAAACAAACGAAAAUGUUACAGUAGCGAAAUCUAAAUUUUUUUCACAUCUAAACAAGGCCUUACCUCUUGUAGCAGAAGAAAACACUGAGCAAGCCUGUUUAAGAUAAGAGGAAUUGUUCCACAUCAGGCAAAACGUGCAUGGGGCAGAGCAGAUGGGACUACAACAGUCCUCUGUCCUCCCCCCACCUCACCCCCCUAACAUUUUCACAGUAACUUCUAUGCAGUUUCUAGCGUGAAGUAGUACUUCUUUUACUGGUUUAGCUUUAUUGCGCUUUUUCCCUGUGAUACAUUCGCAAAAUUAAUGCUAGGCCUUGUUUACUUCCACUCAAAAUCCAAAAACUUUUCAAGAUUUCCCGUCACAUCGAAUCUUUAGACGUAUGCAUGGAAUAUUAAAUAUAAACAAAAUUAAAAACUAAUUACACGGUUUGAUCGAAAUUUACGAGACGAAUCUUUUACCACAAACAAACGAAAGUGCUACGGUGUCCCGAAAAAAUUUCGGCAAAGAACUAAACAAGGCCCUAGUUAUCUCCCCAAAACAUGCCCUCUCAUUAUAUUCCAAGUUCUUCGUGACAACUUUUAUCCUAUUUGGCUAGCAUAUUCAAUUAUUAUUGCAAAUCACGAUGCUAAGUACACCCUAUUUUCUUCCUUUAGGUGGUGAAUCCGUACAACCAAUGCAUAAGCAUUUGAACUUCUGGAUCGUUUAUCUCUGACACAUAAGAUGGACUGUCUGAAUGAUUGUUAUACACAUCAAAAUCUGAUGACAGUUAAUCUUGUAUCAAAAGCUUUUUCAAAUGUAUAACAGGUGAACUUACCAGACUCAUCUCAAUUAGGUUUAUAUUCCUUAGAG